rnacentral:rRNA from 1 species
CCUACGGGAGGCAGCAGUGGGGAAUCUUGCACAAUGGAGGAAACUCUGAUGCAGCGAUGCCGCGUGAGUGAAGAAGGCCCUUGGGUUGUAAAGCUCUUUUGUCGGGAAAGAUAAUGACUGUACCCGAAGAAUAAGGUCCGGCUAACUUCGUGCCAGCAGCCGCGGUAAUACGAAGGGACCUAGCGUAAUUCGGAAUUACUGGGCGUAAAGCGCGCGUAGGCGGUUAAGUAAGUUAAUUGUGAAAGCCCAAGGCUCAACUUUGGAAUUGCAAUUAAAACUACUUAGCUAGAGUUUAUCAGAGGAAAGCGGAAUACAUAGUGUAGAGGUGAAAUUCGUAGAUAUUAUGUAGAACGCCAGUUGCGAAGGCGGCUUUCUGGGAUAACACUGACGCUGAGGUGCGAAAGUAUGGGUAGCGAAGAGGAUUAGAUACCCUCGUAGUCCAUACCGUAAACGAUGAUUGUUAGAUGUUGGAAAUUUAUUUUCAGUAUCACAGCUAACGCGUUAAACAAUCCGCCUGGGGAGUACGACCGCAAGGUUAAAACUCAAAUGAAUUGACGGA